CUGCGUUGCCGGGUAUGUCUUCACAUGCAGUCGACGGGCUUGAGGGGCUUGCUCCUCAAGUUAGUGGCGAACGGGUGAGUAAUGCAUCGGAACGUACCUAGUCGUGGGGGAUAACGUAGCGAAAGUUACGCUAAUACCGCAUACGUCCUACGGGAGAAAGCAGGGGAUCGCAAGACCUUGCGCGAUUGGAGCGGCCGGUGUCUGAUUAGCUAGUUGGUGGGGUAAAGGCUCACCAAGGCGACGAUCAGUAGCGGGUCUGAGAGGAUGAUCCGCCACACUGGAACUGAGACACGGUCCAGACUCCUACGGGAGGCAGCAGUGGGGAAUUUUGGACAAUGGGGGCAACCCUGAUCCAGCCAUUCCGCGUGAGUGAAGAAGGCCUUCGGGUUGUAAAGCUCUUUCGGCAGGGAAGAAACGGUCCGCUCUAACAUAGCGGGCUACUGACGGUACCUGAAGAAGAAGCACCGGCUAACUACGUGCCAGCAGCCGCGGUAAUACGUAGGGUGUGAGCGUUAAUCGGAAUUACUGGGCGUAAAGCGUGCGCAGGCGGCUUUUUAAGCCAGAUGUGAAAUCCCCGGGCUUAACCUGGGAACUGCAUUUGGAACUGGAAGGCUAGAGUGCGGCAGAGGGGGGUAGAAUUCCACGUGUAGCUGUGAAAUGCGUAGAGAUGUGGAGGAAUACCGAUGGCGAAGGCAGCCCCCUGGGUCGACACUGACGCUCAUGCACGAAAGCGUGGGGAGCAAACAGGAUUAGAUACCCUGGUAGUCCACGCCCUAAACGAUGUCAACUAGUUGUUGGAGGAGUGAAAUCCUUUAGUAACGAAGCUAACGCGUGAAGUUGACCGCCUGGGGAGUACGGUCGCAAGAUU
rnacentral:rRNA from 1 species